rnacentral:rRNA from 1 species
CGGACGGGUGAGUAAUGUAUGGGGAUCUGCCUGAUGGCGGGGGAUAACUACUGGAAACGGUAGCUAAUACCGCAUAACGCCGCAAGACCAAAGAGGGGGACCUUCGGGCCUCUUGCCAUCGGAUGUGCCCAGAUGGGAUUAGCUAGUAGGUGGGGUAAUGGCUCACCUAGGCGACGAUCCCUAGCUGGUCUGAGGGGAUGACCAGCCACACUGGAACUGAGACACGGUCCAG